AGUCCUUUUUUCUUCCAGGCUAUUUGUGAGUGGUUUUGUUCAACUUUUACAGUCUUUCUUUCCUUCUAAUUUUGCUUCUCCCUAUCUUGUUUUUUGCUUUGAGGGGAUGGGCUGGGGGUACUGAAGGCCUCCAAAACUGGCUGUUCCGUGGCUGCAAGUGUUUUAAGUCCAUCUACCCUCUAUGAAAUUCACAUGGGGGAGAAAAACCCUUCUGGGGAUGAUAUUAUGAGAAGCUGGCCUGCAACGAAAGAAGGGAAAUGGCAGAAGUCUCUUCAUUCCCAUGCAACCUCCUAACCCAGGCUGAUGGCCGGCUGGUUGUUGGAAUACUGAAACAAGGAAAGCAAGACAGCGCGAUUAUCACCUUGUUGAAGGUCUCAGGAGCGGCACAUCACGGAGCCAGGAUUUUAUCCAACUGUCUGGCUCCCAAGUCACUGCUCCCCACUUCUCUGUACGCCUGUGGCCCACAGCUCUACCAGGAUGGGGUUUUUGCCAUUUAAUCAUUUUGACAGGGUUCUGUAACCUUUAUAUGAAGUAAACUAAUGUCCAAGUAUUGAAUGUUUGAUAUUAAAUCAAGGCCAGUAAAGAUCCCAAUGGGAUGUUGGGGGUCCCCCAGUCUGGCUCACAUCAAACAAGCCCUCUUUCAGACUGCGGGCUCUCGAGAGGCGGCAGAAGUCUUGCAGAAACAGUCUGAGAUCUUCCCUCUGGGGAAUCUAGACAAUAGCAACUGCCAUCUUUUUCCCCCAAAACAUCACUACACGUGGCGAGUAGGUAGCAGCCAUUUUUGAACAAUCCUUGCCCAGACUGGUACGAGAAGGCAGGAGGUGCUGAUGCCCACUUCUAUGCUACGGGCACUAGGAAACCGUGGGUUCCUUUGGGCUACGUCUAACCAAGCCACCACUAGCUGCAUUAUUUCCCCUGGAAGAAGCUGCUGCUUCUGACAACAGUCAUGAUAUUGGACAAGCUCAUAAAAGCCCCUCUAGCUCUGAGUAACUGAGUGUAUUCAGACCAUAGCAGUCACUCUCUCCUUGUCACUCCUCAGCUCUUUGUGUCACUUGUUUGUCUCUUAUGCUUUAACAGCUCUAGGACCCAGUCUCACAUUUGCUCUGGGUUAACGCUCUGUCUAGGUAGCCUGUAGUAAUCUCUGUGGCCUGUGACAGCGAAUAAUUGAAGCUAUAGUUCCUUUUGUUGCCUACAGUACAACCUAGGCCACAUCCAGCUUUUCUACAAGAAAUGUAGGCUUUUCCAUCUCUCCGAAUAAUAAUGACAACUGUCACUUACGGAUCCCCUCUCUGUAUUAGUCAUUGUUCUAGGUGCUCACAUAAGCCAUUUAGCCCUCACAACAACUCCAUAAAGGAUGUGCUGUGAUGUCCAUCUUACCGUCAAGGAAACUGAGGGACAAAGUAUUUUGCCUUGGGUCCCAAGGCCAAUAAGUGGCAAAACUGUGAUUUAAACCAAAGUCCCUGUUUCUUACCACAAACUCUACUCUCAUGGGAGUCCCUGGACAUUUUACCUGUUCCACACACCCCUCUUGGUGUCACUUGACACCUUAUUCAACUGUCUGCCUCCAGAAUCUUGUCCCAUUGAAUGUCUCACUUCUAGCCAGUCACACCUCUAAAAUCUUUCAAGGUACUGUGUGAUAGAACAGUGCUUUUGUGUACCACCUUUGAUCUUUCUGAAGGAUUUCACAGCCAUGCCCUUCCUCAGCUUCAUCUUUAGACCAUGGUACCCUGAGAGAUCCCUGAAUUUGAUCUCUGCUUAGAAGCCAUUUCUUAAUUUUAGCAUUGUUGUUAUCAGGAGAGGUGGGAAUCUUUAUAAACAGCAAAUCCUGUCUCCAUUUAAACAUAAACAACAGCCUUUCCUAUAGCUUCUUUCUCUCCUCCAGCAUUUUAUCAUAAGCAGCAAGGAACCAGGCAGCACCUUCAACAGUGUGGGUGGAAAUCUCCUUAGUCCAGUCACCCAGUUCAUGGGGUACAUUUUCUACUUUGCAUAUAACUGCAGGUACCAGUGUCACUAAACUUCUCCAAGUACAUGUCAUGAGUCCCCCUCCCUCCAAUUUCCAAGAACAUUCCCCUCCCUUUCCCUGAAGCCUUCACCAGUAGUCACCUCAGAGUCCUCUCAUCUCCUCCCCAUUGCUUGAUUCCCAAAAUACUCUGAAAUUUUAAGUUGUUGUUUUAUAGCAGCUCACUUCCAGACACCAAAAUCUGUAUCAGUUAUCUACUGCUUUGUAACAAAGUAUCUGGAAACGCAUCGGCUUAAACAACAAAGCUUUAUUAUUGCAUGCAGUUUCUGACAGUCAGGAGUCUGCAGUUGUUUUAUAGUUGGGUGAUUCUGGCUCAGGAUCUUCACUGAGGUUGCAGUCAAUUUGCUUAGGGCUACAGUCACAAAGACGUGACUGGGGAUGGAGGUGUCACUUCUAUGGCAUCUUUCACAUGGUUAUUAGCUAAAGGCUCAAGUUGAGCUCAUUGGCUGUUGUCAGUGGGCCACAGUUCCUUGCCACAUGUGCCUUUCUCUAGGUAUGGCAUCUUGCAUGGCACAAUUUGACAUUUUCAACAGCACUGCAUGAUAGUUUCACUUUUCUCACAUGCUCCCCAGCACUUGUUAUGGCUUGGUAUAGCAUCUGGCUUACCCCAAAAUAAUUUUGAAGAGAGGGACCAAGACAGAGCUGUUUAUUAUCUAGUCUCUGAAUUCACACACUGUCACUUUCUCAUUCUUCCACUGGUCACAUAGACCUUCAUACACACAAACGUUAGGAAGGACAUGAAUACCAGUAAGUGAGGAUCACUGCAGCCAUCUUGGGGGGGAAACCACAAUGAUGAAAUACCGAAUGCAUUCAUUCCCCUAAGACCUGGAAUGAGGCAGGGAUGUGCAUCCUCACCACUUCUAUUCACCACUGAAGUGGAAGUUCUAGCUAAUGCAAUAAGGUAAGAAAAGGGAAUAGAAUGCAUACAGAUUGAAAAGGAAGAAAUAAAACUCUUUUAAUUUGCUAGAUGACACAAUUAUUAAGUAGAAAAUUAUAAGGAACCUACAAAAAAGCUACUAGAACAAA